rnacentral:lncRNA from 1 species
GUACCAUCUUUACUCUGAAAUAGUAUUUUUCCACUUGGAUUUAUUGACAAGUGAAAUUCAGAAGUUUUCUUCAGCUCUUUCUUUUGUGUGUUUUUUCCCCCAAAUCAGUGUGGAAGCUCCUUAUGGAAGAGACCGACAUUCCAUUUUUGUGCACUGUUUCCCAGUGCCUUUUCACUGCUUCUGGCUGCAGUAGGCAUUCAACAGAUGGUCAAAGCCAACUGACUCACUUCUGAACUGAGAGAGGAUGACCCGCAGAGGAGCCUUGCGUGAGCCGUGCUAUAGAUGACAAGACCCCAUCUGCUCGUGAGCCUGAUCUACUGCCUCACCCAAGGGUCAGAAACAAAGCAGAUGCUGGACACAGUGGUCAAUUUCAGAUUUCAGAAGCUACAAUCAUGGUCAUUUAAGAAGUAGGAUCCAGUGUAUUACUAUUACCGAUGGGUGGCUGCAUAGAAGUUUACAGGCCUGGGAAAAGCCAGGUGGGUACCCGGAGCCCAUCAUUUUAUUUUUUCAAAGAGAAUCAAUACAAGGGAGUAUUACCAAGUUGGCCACCGCUAUAGGAGAGUUAACAAAAGCCAACCUACUCUCCAGUCCUGUAAGUAUUAUUCCCUGUGUGCCAUUCAAUUGCUACAGCCGCAAUAUAAUCCAGUAUCUCACUUCCAAUCAAUGUCCUAUCUGAAUACAUCACAAGUUAAAAACAACAAUAACUACUAAUUGUGAUCCUACUGCAUGCCAUGAGGUCCU